GUCAGCGUAGCUCAGUUGGUAGAGCACUCGCUUGUCAAUUCGGUGGUCAUGGGAUCGAUCCCAUCGUGCAGGGGCG